GAUGAACGCUGGCGGCGUGCCUAAUACAUGCAAGUCGAGCGAACAGACGAGGAGCUUGCUCCUCUGACGUUAGCGGCGGACGGGUGAGUAACACGUGGAUAACCUACCUAUAAGACUGGGAUAACUUCGGGAAACCGGAGCUAAUACCGGAUAAUAUAUUGAACCGCAUGGUUCAAUAGUGAAAGACGGUUUUGCUGUCACUUAUAGAUGGAUCCGCGCUGCAUUAGCUAGUUGGUAAGGUAACGGCUUACCAAGGCGACGAUGCAUAGCCGACCUGAGAGGGUGAUCGGCCACACUGGAACUGAGACACGGUCAAGACUCCUACGGGAGGCAGCAGUAGGGAAUCUUCCGCAAUGGGCGAAAGCCUGACGGAGCAACGCCGCGUGAGUGAUGAAGGUCUUCGGAUCGUAAAACUCUGUUAUUAGGGAAGAACAAAUGUGUAAGUAACUAUGCACGUCUUGACGGUACCUAAUCAGAAAGCCACGGCUAACUACGUG
rnacentral:rRNA from 1 species